CAGCAGAGCCUCCAUUUAGCAAGCCUCGCACACCCGCAGCCCCCGAGCUGUCUCCUAGCAGGCGGCAGCAGCGCAGGUUUCCCCAGCAGCAGGCGGGGAGCGGGAGGGGGGGACUGCGGACCUCCGGGAAAGGAGGGAAUUCCCUCUCGCCAGCCUGUCUGUGGAGCGGCGCUGCUCCUGCCCUUUGUCCGGCCCUUUCGACCCGCAUCGAUGCCUGCACCCUCACCAGCUGCAGCGUGAGGCUGUGCCCCUUCCCUCUGCUUUCCCAGCCACUCCUGGACCAGUGUUGAGCUUCCUCUGCCCAGACCCUUUCCGCCAUGCCCUCGGCCCCGGAUCAGCCUGGGUGCGCACACCUGACUGCCCCGCUCCCCUUCUCGGAACCCCGCCAUUCCUGUCCCACUCUCGGGCUCCUGGCGCUCGUCCCUUUCCCCAGAUAAUUGCAACACCUCCCCCCGCCUCCCCGAGUGGCGGGCAGGCAGUGUUGCAAACAGGAAAUCAGGUCAUUCUACACCACACAGUGCAAGCACAGAGACAGAAAGGGAGGAGGACGGUGGGUAGCAAGGAGCAGUCACUCCAGAGGAGCAGCCCUUCCUGACUGCAGCACGCUGCAGAUGUAUGCUUUGUCAGAGGCUGGAAAAGUUCAUCGCCAUGGAAAGGAAAUCUAUUAAACGUGCCUCCUGGAGGUAUGGGAGGCCCUGCGACAAGCCUCCCGGGACACGGGGAAUCUUUGGCCAGAGAACCGCUUUGGAGAAAAGAGACAUAGAUGCUCGGGUGUGCCACCACCAGCCUUUGCAGAAGCGGUGCGCCAGGCUUCCCCGCGGGGUGUUUCUGCAGCGGCGGAGGUGUCCCGCCCGUCGUCGUAACACAAAAGUGCUGUCUCUCUGGCAUGACGUGCCAGCCCAAAUGUUGCUGCCGGAAUCAAGCACUGGAAGAGCCUGACAAGAUAUAACCCCACCAAGGCAGAGGCUUGGCACGGGCCUCUUUGGUAAUUCCAAGUUUCAGUUGUGAUAGUUUGCUUGGCUACUUACUUCUUGUCAGAUGAACCCAACGGUCUGAACAAAUUUAGGCAGAUUUCAAGUUGAAUGGUUGUUGCAGUGAAAAUUUCAUGGAGACUUUUGUUUAACAUUUCAGCAAAGUUUUAUCAACUUUGGCAAGACUUCCAAGCUUUUCAACCUUCACACACCUUUUAACCAUUUGAAAAGUUGUCUACCUUGCAUUUGAAAUGCACAAAGUUACUGCCAGUUGUUGUCAGGAAAAAAAAAAAGCAGCUUGAUAUGGGUUUAUUUUUGUGGUGAAGAAAACAAGAUGACUUAUUAUGAACCUGUUUUGGUGUCUCUGAACAGUGUCCCUGCUCAUACAUGCACAUUUUUCCUCCCAGGCAAGACCAUCUGGAGGAUUCAUGGAAUACUAGGUGCAUCAUGAAAAUUCUGCAUUUUCAGAUGGACAUUUAUUCUGAAUGGUGUAUAGAUACACGUGGGGUUGGUUCCCCUAUUGGGGCACCUCUGCUUUACUUUCCUUGGCAGGGAAUUUAAACAGAGUUGGAUGCAUUGCAAGUGAGCACUGGUCAGGAAAUGAAAAAGUAACAUGGAAGUGCCACCUUAAAACAACGUCCUCUCCCUGUGUAGCAGUGAGUUAUGGACACAGAUUCAGGUGUAUUUCGGUGGUAUCUCAACUUUUUGCCUUGUUUUGCAUCUCAUAUAAUUGAAAAGCAAUCUUUGGAUUUGUUCUAGGAAGAAAUAAAUUUCUGUCAGAUCUAAGUGUCAUUAGUGACUCAUUUGUCAUUUGGAAAUGUUUGUAGGAUUCUGUCCAGGUUCUGAGUUGCUGGCUGUUACUGGUGUGUUGGAAAGCAAUGCCUCCUCAGAUGUUCCUGUAUACCUUUAUCUAUCUGCCUACAAUCAUUUUAUGAGCUCAUGAGAAUGAACACAAGACAUCUUUGACAUCCCUCUUUCUCAUUUCCUCUCCUAUUUUUCACAU